rnacentral:rRNA from 1 species
UGGCGGACGGGUGAGUAAUGCUGGGAAACUGCCUGAUGGAGGGGGAUAACUACUGGAAACGGUAGCUAAUACCGCAUAACGUCGCAAGACCAAAGAGGGGGACCUUCGGGCCUCUUGCCAUCGGAUGUGCCCAGAUGGGAUUAGCUAGUAGGUGGGGUAACGGCUCACCUAGGCGACGAUCCCUAGCUGGUCUGAGAGGAUGACCAGCCACACUGGAACUGAGACACGGUCCAG